CUGAGUUUGAUCCCUGGCUCAGGAUGAACGCUGGCGGCGUGCCUAACACAUGCAAGUCGAGCGAUCUCUUCGGAGAGAGCGGCGGACGGGUGAGUAACGCGUGGGUAACCUGCCCUGUACACACGGAUAACAUACCGAAAGGUAUACUAAUACGGGAUAACAUAUGAAAGUCGCAUGGCUUUUGUAUCAAAGCUCCGGCGGUACAGGAUGGACCCGCGUCUGAUUAGCUAGUUGGUAAGGUAAUGGCUUACCAAGGCAACGAUCAGUAGCCGACCUGAGAGGGUGAUCGGCCACACUGGAACUGAGACACGGUCCAGACUCCUACGGGAGGCAGCAGUGGGGAAUAUUGCACAAUGGGCGAAAGCCUGAUGCAGCAACGCCGCGUGAGCGAUGAAGGCCUUCGGGUCGUAAAGCUCUGUCCUCAAGGAAGAUAAUGACGGUACUUGAGGAGGAAGCCCCGGCUA
rnacentral:rRNA from 1 species